rnacentral:misc_RNA from 1 species
GCUCCCAACAAGUUGUUAUUAAAUCUGCUUUUUUUGUCACCGACAACUAUCGGAGACCUAUCAAAGUGUCUCUGUAUGCCAACUUAUCGGGAGGACAGCUUUCCGCCUGAAAGGCUCUAUGAACCGAUUGGCUAACGGGACGCCUUGUAUACAUUACGACCAUUUCAAGCAUAAAGAUAUCCUAUUUGAAUUCAAUGUGGUCGUGCACAGACUCGGCAUAACAACAUCUACAUCCGCAUACUGACCUAAGGGUGUAUUAUUCCGCGGCAACAGCCGAUAGACUAGUCCCUGCUCCAAUAUAAAUACUUGCACGCAGAUUGAUUCUACAUCCUAACAUGGGGUGCGCACAUACAGCCAAAUGGUUCCUGCCGUCGCUCCUCCUGGCUUUCGCAGCUCUUCAAAAUGUCGCUGCCCAGCCAAUGCCUGACCCUUGUCUCCAUGGAAACUACAAGAACCUGACGAACGUUCACCGCAGUGUGUCCUAUGAGACGGCCUACCCGGAGACUCCACUGUGCGACAUUGACCUAGACACGGGCUGGUACCGGUUUGUGGUAGAUGCUGAGAGUAAAAUGCCUGAAACAUGCGUCGAUCCUUUUAAGUGCGGGACGACUGUUCCAAUCUGGCUGAAUUGUACUCACCCCUCUGUAAGUGACGGGAUCCAAACGAGGCGAGCAUGCGCGAACCUCCAGGCUGGUGGCGCCUCUAGUGGUCCGUGCUGUGGACAGGCCGUCAACAUCGGGGUCAAGAACUGUGAGGGUUUUUUCGUUUACUAUCUACAUCCAACACGAGCCUGCCCGAUGGCCUAUUGUGCAGGAAAAGACGCACCAUGUCCCGCUGGAAAGUGGUCUCCCACAGGUUUUCCACCCGGCUGUAAAGACCCCUACCCACAGCUGACUGACCCGCCGAAAUUCCGGGGACCUGUGAUUAAGCGGAGAAGCGUCUACUUCACCUGUGACCUGACCUUUAGCGGCAACGACCCGGAUCAAGUCUUUGAGUUCGUCUGGCUGUUUGACGGCGUGGAGGACCCUAAAGUGCCGCCUGAAGUCGUCCGUGACCCAAAGCGAUCUGCGAGACUGGACGGGGCUCAACUGGCGGGUCUCCUCAACAAGAACGUUGGUUGUAAAGUUCGUGCAUUUUACAAGCAAAAUGUCGUCAAGAAAGGACCCUGGCUGGAGAGCACUAGGACGUACUGGGCUGGAAUACAAACAGAUCCCUCAAAAAUCUCCAUACGUACGGAUGAAGACAAGUUUGACGUGGUCAUAAGGUCAACACUUCCGGUCUUAUGUAACUCGUCUGUGAAAGAUGAUCAGUGUUGUGUUUGGAUUUACUUGUCGGUCACCGGGUCUGAAGGGGAUCAAGCCUUUCUGGUAGUGUCAAAGGAUUGUAGGUACUCAAUAUGUAAAUCAGACUGGAACAGCACGAGUCAAGAAGCGUCAAAGACGGUGUCAGUCGUGGCCAGCAAGACUCAGAUGCAGUAUGGCACCAAGGACUUGCUGGUCUCCUUCGAGAAUAUUGUCAUCGCAGACACUUCCCGGUAUCAGCGAAUAUUCCAAGGUUUUAAGAUCCCCUCAGUACAGGUUGAUCUUCAGCAAAGGGAUUCAAAGCUCUGCAGCAUUGUAACAGAUCCACACAUCACAGGACUGGACGACAAGAGAGUAUUCCAUCUGUAUCGAGUGGGUGACUACACUGCAUAUGAAAAUGUCCAAAGGGAUUUUGAGGUUCAGAUUCGGACGUGGCCUUGCUUCCAAGAGCGUCCUGACAGGGCGGUAACCUGUAUCUGUGGAGUUGCGGUUCGUGAGAAGGACGAUGUGAUCAGGGUCAAUGGCUGCAACCAUGGCUUCUACGGUCAAAGCGUUGGAUCACCGGAAAUCACCGUGCCCAGGCCUUUAAGAGAAGGCACGACUAUACUUCAGUCUACGGAUGGAUCGAUGAUAACACUGUAUUUUCCGUCCAGUACUGAAAUUCAAAUUACCGCAUCGGCAAUACUUGGUGGUCAUCUCAACCUCUACAUCUCGGUUCCUGGCACCGACUAUCUCAAUGGAAGAGGCUUGUGCGGGACGUUUGAUAACAACCCCAACAACGACCUGACCCACCGGUCUGGCUUUGUGGACACAAUGCCUGCAGACAGUGUACCAGAGGGUUUCACCGAGUCCUGGAAGAACGAUGACAGCACAAGCUUGUUCAGGAUUGUACCUCCAGAAACGGGGGAGUCGUACGUGCCUCAAUACUGCAAAUGCAAUAACGAUGGCCGUGGAACUGUGAACUGUACUUACCAGGGGGACAUAAACGAACGCAAACUACCGUGUCCUAAUUGCCAAGACACCACAGGCAAAAGUGGUUUUUUGGAUGGUGGAUGGACGUCCAAAAGAAGAAAAAGAUCUGUUAGUGGUAAAGCAUACGUCGACUCCGAUGAAAUAGAACAAGUUUACGACCCUAACGAUUUUGCAGAUUUCCGACCGCCAAAUCUGUCAUGGCCGACAUCGACUGGCAUCAGCGAGAGUCAAGCAGAGAACUACUGCUCCAACGCCUUGAGACAGUCUCAGCUCUGGCCUCACUGUCAGGACAAAAGACAAGAGAUAGAAGGGCAGACCGAAAACUGCAAGAUCGAUAUUUUGGUAGCUAAUAAUUACACAAGUACAGAGGCCAUCGUGGAAGCUUUCCAGACAAACUGCAAAGUGGAGCUGGCCAAGGACCCAGAUAACUACAUCACCACACCCGGCGGAGAGAGUGUCCUGAAGCCAGAGAUCUCUAACGACGUCUGCAACCCUGUGUGCUACAUCAACGGACGAUGCGACAGGGGGCAAUGUGUCUGCAACAGAGGCUUUAUCGGCGAUAACUGUCAGAUAAAAGAUGAACCGCCUAAAUUGCUCGGCUUACGAGGGUCCAACCUGUGUGACUUUAAUGAACGGCCAUGCAAACAAAUCUUCAUCAACGCUGAAAAUAUUCAAAAUACGGCGACAAUGGCAUGCAAAAUUCAAGAAAUUCUGGAUGAUGGAUCAGUUUCUGAACAAGCUUCUAUGGAAGAAGCUGUUUUCCUGACUCUUAACAAACUCGGCUGCGCUUUGCCUGAUGCUGGCAUCAAAACAGAGAAGUCCAUCAAGCGAUUUUAUAUCACGGCUACUAUUGAUGGCCAUCGCUAUAGCAACGCAGUGAACAUGACUGUCUACGACUCGUCCUGUCAGAGCUGUACACAGGAGGGAUGUCAGAAACUGCCAAACACGUGUCUGAUCAACAACUUGUGUUUCCAAGAUGGAGAACUCAAUGCGAAGGAUAACUCGCAGAUAUGUACCGUUACGCUUCAGCACGACGGAUGUCUCCUUUACCUACAGUUCGACAGACUACCCGGUCAUCAUGUCCGUGAACGUGACCAGGUCAGAGGACAACACCCAGUUAAGAUGCGUGGUCAACGCUGAUGCCUCAAAGCCCACAGCCAGCUUCCGGAUGGCCUGGGGUAUCGAUGGUGACUGGCUUCGAGAGUUGGUCAUCCCCAGUGGACAUCUGGAGGCUGCCAUCAGCAUGUCGGACGUUAGUCACGCUCAUCAGGUGGCAUGUCGUGCACGUUCAGUUUUCACUGACACCAACAUUUUCAGUCCCUACACCUACAGCAACAUUCUUUCUAUGGGGGGACGCUGAAACCAGACGAAAAGAUGACAAAGAAUGAAGUUACUUAAGUCUGAUAACAGUAACUUAGAAAUAUUGGAAUGGAAGUACCCACUACAUUAGCUAUAAAGUGAAUAUUUUUGGAAAAAUACUUCUUUACA